GCAUGGAUGGCUCAGUCGGUUGAGCAUCUGACUUUGGCUCAGUUCACGAUCUCAUGGUUUGUGGGUUCAAGCCCGGUUUUGGGCU
rnacentral:tRNA from 1 species